ensembl:lncRNA
AUCAGGUUGUCCUUGUAUGGACCACGGGAGAAGGGGCUGGCGCCUCCUGGGAGGAUCCGCGUUUGAGUCAAAGCUCAUUCCAGGGUGGGGACUCAGAUGGGAAGACAAGGACGUGCUGACCUGUACUCGAGCAGCGGGUGUCUGGGGACCUAUAGUUCUGACAAGCAGGCGUGCAAGUUCACUCCAUCCUAGGAUUCUCAAAUGUGAAGAAAGUUUCCGCUGGACACAGACCCCAGGGCAGAGAGCUGAGAAACUGCCAUCCCUUUUGCCAUCGACAUGGACGCAUAUUUAGGACGUGGAUGAUUUGGACCCAUCUACUGAUGUGAAUGAACUAUUCAUCAGAAGACAUAUGUAAUCAGUGUGAG